AGUCGAGCGAGCUUGCCUAGAUGAUUUUAGUGCUUGCACUAAAUGAAACUAGAUACAAGCGAGCGGCGGACGGGUGAGUAACACGUGGGUAACCUGCCCAAGAGACUGGGAUAACACCUGGAAACAGAUGCUAAUACCGGAUAACAACACUAGACGCAUGUCUAGAGUUUGAAAGAUGGUUCUGCUAUCACUCUUGGAUGGACCUGCGGUGCAUUAGCUAGUUGGUAAGGUAACGGCUUACCAAGGCAAUGAUGCAUAGCCGAGUUGAGAGACUGAUCGGCCACAUUGGGACUGAGACACGGCCCAAACUCCUACGGGAGGCAGCAGUAGGGAAUCUUCCACAAUGGACGAAAGUCUGAUGGAGCAACGCCGCGUGAGUGAAGAAGGGUUUCGGCUCGUAAAGCUCUGUUGGUAGUGAAGAAAGAUAGAGGUAGUAACUGGCCUUUAUUUGACGGUAAUUACUUAGAAAGUCACGGCUAACUACGUGCCAGCAGCCGCGGUAAUACGUAGGUGGCAAGCGUUGUCCGGAUUUAUUGGGCGUAAAGCGAGUGCAGGCGGUUCAAUAAGUCUGAUGUGAAAGCCUUCGGCUCAACCGGCGAAUUGCAUCAGAAACUGUUGAACUUGAGUGCAGAAGAGGAGAGUGGAACUCCAUGUGUAGCGGUGGAAUGCGUAGAUAUAUGGAAGAACACCAGUGGCGAAGGCGGCUCUCUGGUCUGCAACUGACGCUGAGGCUCGAAAGCAUGGGUAGCGA
rnacentral:rRNA from 1 species